CAGACACUUGUGACUAUGUAGCGACGGGAGUGCGGUGAGAGCAGGCGGGCAGAAGACUCGAGGUGCCCCGUGUUGAUUCUGACCUUACGCUUCUGAUUCUCCAUUCUCCCAGUUCUCCCAGUGCCUGUCCUUCGGCCUCUUCCUGGGCCCCUAUUUUGCACCCUCCCCACCCCCACAGGCCCCCACGUGGGAUGGGUGGGCCUGUCCUCUCUGGCCUCAGCCAGCGGGGUGUGAGGAUUUCCUCCGCCGAGCUCCUGCUGGUUCUGAAUUGGGGGGAAGGGAGAGGUACGCAGGUCCUUUGGGUAGAGUGACAGUCUGGUUUUUGCUUCAACUCUCAGGCCAUCCUUCACCUCUCUAUCCAAUGCAUUCUGUAGCCCCUUUCCUUCUGGUCAGGACACAUCUGACCGCUGUAAAUAUUCACUCUCUUCUAAGAGCCGCCCUUUAUAGCAAGGAGCAGAUACUCUUUCCAUUAGCCUGACUUUGGAAUGAAAAUAAACUCUAGAGGGAGAGGCUAGUGCUCUUAUGGCAGAAAUAAACCAGGACACUAUUCGCAAAGAAAGCAAGAUACAAAAGGAAUAUGCGGCAAAUGCCCCUGUUUAAAAAAGAAGAAAAUGAAAAGAAGAGCAGCUAUAAAUACACAUUUUGAAGAAGACAGAAAGGAACUAUGCCGAAUAUUAAAAGAGGAGCUGGUGCACCUUUGGGGCCGACUCUUGCUUCUGCUCAGACAUUGAAAACUCAGCUCCCGUGGCCUCUGCCUGGUACUUCGCUCCACUGCGGGACCCGUGGGUUCAGCCCUCUCUUACUACUCCUACAGUUUCUGGAUCUGCAACUCAGUUGACCUCUGCUGAAUCUCUACGCAGCUGCAUCUCAACUACGGUUUGGUUGGAUAACUGGAGGAUGGUGUUCUCAGGACGAGAGUCACGGCAAAGCCCGGAUCAUCACAAAGCAGUGACUGCGACAACUCACAGAUCCAAAAUCUAGGUCUGCUCUGAGCCCAGGCUGGGAAUAUUACGGCGUCAUCUGGAAUAUUACAGCGUCAUCUGUCACAAUCAGCUUAUGGCUCUUACUGGGGACCCAGGAGCACAUGCAGGGGUCGCCCCUCCUUCCCUGAGCUGCUGAGUUGAGCCU